UCUUUUUCUCGCUAGCAGACGACAUAAACAUAACCUAUAUACAAUGUUGAUUUUUUAGUUUUUCUUUAUUAUUAUAUUAUUGAAAACAAAACUCAAAUGACAGAUAACGUGUAACAUUUUUUUAAUAAUUAAAAAGAUGAUUUUUCGUUUACGACAUUUCUCCACGCAAUGUAUUCAGAAUCUCGGUUCACCAAUUACAUCAAUUAAAUAUCUUCGGUUUAAAGAUUAUCGAUCUCUGUCUGUGCAAUCCCGACCUGUUAAAUUAGCCUUUAUUUCCUACGAAUCAAUAAAAGAUGUGACACAAACCUCAAAUUUGUGUCCAAUUAUAAUAAUGCACGGUUUGCUUGGAUCGAAAAAUAAUUGGAAUUCAUUAUCAAAAACAAUUCAUCAACAAACCGGUCGGAAGGUGAUAACUGUAGAUGCAAGAAAUCAUGGAGAUUCGCCUCAUUCGACGGAUAUGUCAUAUGCUCAUAUGUCUGAAGAUAUAGUACAAUUAAUAAAAGAUAUAAAUGUCAAGAAAGUAAUUUUAAUUGGACAUAGCAUGGGAGGCAGUACAAUGAUGUAUGUGGCGCUAAAUUAUCCAGAAUUAAUUGAAAAAUUAGUUGUCAUUGAUAUGUCACCAGUGAGAGUAAGUCCAAGUCUCACGGAAAUGAUUAAAUUAUUUCACGCUAUGAAAACAGUGACUCUCGAUGGCAUUCUGACUUUAUCAAAGGCACGGAAAAUGGCUGAUGAACAAUUAUCGCAGUCCAUUCCCUCGGAAAGAAUUCGUCAGUUUUUGCUAAUGAAUCUCGUUGAAGCGGAGGCGGGUGUUUAUAAAUGGCGAGUAAAUUUGCCAAUUUUAGAACAAAAUUUUGCAGCAAAUAUUGCGACAUUUCCACAAUUAGAAAAUCGAGUUUACACGGGACCGACUAUUUUUAUCGGUGGCGAAGAAAGUGAUUAUUUAAAAAAAAAGGAUCACGAAAAAAUUAGAAAAUUUUUCCCCACGGCUGAAUUUCAUUACAUUGCGGAAGCAGGCCAUUGGGUUCAUGUAGAUAAACCUAUUGAAUUUUUAAAUAAUGUCAUCACUUUUAUCAAAGAACCGCCUAUUAAAGAAUUCACGAAUAAUUAGUUAAUUUCUGCACACACACACACACACUUUUAUUGGAAUUGACUUUUGUUAUUUCUUAACAAAAAAAUAUACCAAAAAUGAAAAAGAUCAUUUUCCCAAAUGGAAAAAAUAUCUUAUAGAAAAUGUUAUAAAUACGAUGUUAUUGAUGAUUAAAUAAAAAUGGAGAAAGGAAAAAAAACAAAUGCAAAUUCAUUAAACUCUGAAACUUUUAUUGUUCAGGUGAAUUAACAGUGUAUAUUUUUCUUUUUAUCGAAGUAAAAACGAAAUAGAAUGUGCAAAUUUCAUAAUAGCCUAAAAAGCUUAAAGUCUAUGUACAGUAGCACAAAUAUCGUAAAAUUAAAUUACGAGACAAAUUUGAUUUGUACAGAUAUCACAUUUAUAGAUGUAUAUAAUUAUAUAAGUGUUUGUGUAAAAGUGGAUUCACUCUCAAAAGAAAACACGAUUAAAAAAUACAAAAAAGGAAAUUUCCGAUGAGAAAACAACAAAAAAGGAAAAUUGUUCAAGUGAUCAAUUGACAAAACCUUUCGAAGAUCUUUUUAGUCUUUCUUUUCCAUUCCUCCAUUAUAAGCGUAAUCGGCUUUGUUGUGCAUUAUCAAUCGAUUGUCGACGAAAUAAAAGGAAUCGGAUCUCGUUUCAAA